rfam:Colletotrichum orbiculare MAFF 240422 contig05023, whole genome shotgun sequence.
UUUAAGGUUUUUCUAAAAACCAAAAAGCUUCUAUUAUAAUAUAAUU